rnacentral:rRNA from 1 species
CGAAUGCUGACAUAAGUAACGAUAAAGCGGGUGAAAAGCCCGCUCGCCGGAAGACCAAGGGUUCCUGUCCAACGUUAAUCGGGGCAGGGUGAGUCGACCCCUAAGGCGAGGCCGAAAGGCGUAGUCGAUGGGAAACAGGUUAAUAUUCCUGUACUUGGUGUUACUGCGAAGGGGGGACGGAGAAGGCUAUGUUGGCCGGGCGACGGUUGUCCCGGUUUAAGCGUGUAGGCUGGUUUUCCAGGCAAAUCCGGAAAAUCAAGGCUGAGGCGUGAUGACGAGGCACUACGGUGCUGAAGCAACAAAUGCCCUGCUUCCAGGAAAAGCCUCUAAGCAUCAGGUAACAUCAAAUCGUACCCCAAACCGACACAGGUGGUCAGGUAGAGAAUACCAAGGCGCUUGAGAGAACUCGGGUGAAGGAACUAGGCAAAAUGGUGCCGUAACUUCGGGAGAAGGCACGCUGAUAUGUAGGUGAAGUGAUUUACUCAUGGAGCUGAAAUCAGUCGAAGAUACCAGCUGGCUGCAACUGUUUAUUAAAAACACAGCACUGUGCAAACACGAAAGUGGACGUAUACGGUGUGACGCCUGCCCGGUGC